rnacentral:rRNA from 1 species
AUUGAACGCUGGCGGCAGGCCUAACACAUGCAAGUCGAACGAGUGGCGGACGGGAGAGCAAUGUCUGGGAAACUGCAUGAUGGAGGGGGAUAACUACUGGAAACGGUAGCUCAUAACGCAUACCAGAGGAUGUGCCCAGAUGGGAUAAGGUAGUAGGUGGGGUCAAGGCACACCUAGGCGACGAUCCCUAGCGGGUGUGAGAGGAUGACCAGCCACACGUGAACUGAGACACGGUCCAGACUCAUAUGGUAGGCGGCGUGGGGGAAUAUGGGACAAUGGGCGCAAGCCUGAGGCAGGCAUGCCGCGUGUAUGAAGAAGGCCUUCGUGUUGUAAAGUACUUUCAGCGGGGAGGCGUUACCCGCAGAAUAAGCACCGGCUAACUCCGUGCCAGCAGCCGCGGUAAUUC